rnacentral:rRNA from 1 species
ACGGGGCUUAAUGUCUUGUAAUUGGAAUGAUGGGAAUUUAAACCUCUUCCAGAGUAUCAAUUGGAGGGCAAGUCUGGUGCCAGCAGCCGCGGUAAUUCCAGCUCCAAUAGCGUAUAUUAAAAUUGUUGCAGUUAAAAAGCUCGUAGUUGAAUUUCUGCUGCAUUGCUUUUGCUCCUUUACGAGUCUUUGCAUUGUGGCUUAUUUCGGACUUUGUUUUACAAUGUCCGGAUGUUUACUUUGAGAAAAUUAGAGUGCUCAAAGCAGGCUUUCGCCUUGAAUAGUUUAGCAUGGAAUAAUAAAGUAGGACUUUGGUUCUAUUUUGUUGGUUUUAGGUACCAAAGUAAUGGUUAAUAGGAACAGUUGGGGGCAUUCGUAUUUAACUGUCAGAGGUGAAAUUCUUAGA